GGACUACUGGGGUAUCUAAUCCUGUUUGCUCCCCUAGCUUUCGUUCCUCAGCGUCAGUUGCGGUCCAGCGAGCCGCCUUCGCCACGGGUGUUCCUGCAGAUAUCUACGCAUUUCACCGCUACACCUGCAAUUCCACUCGCCUCUCCCGCACUCUAGCACGGCAGUUUCGAAAGCAGCCUCUGAGUUAAGCCCAGAGAUUUCACUUCCGACUUACCGCACCGCCUACGAACCCUUUACGCCCAGUAAUUCCGAGCAACGCUGGCCCCCUACGUCUUACCGCGGCUGCUGGCAC
rnacentral:rRNA from 1 species